CACGUAGGAGGCAAACGUUAUCCGGAUUUACUGGGCGUAAAGCGAGUGUAGGUGGUUCUGUAAGUAGGGCGUGAAAGCUCCCGGCUCAACUGGGAGAGGCCGUUCUAAACUGCAGAGCUAGAGGAUGGUAGAGGGAGGUGGAAUUCCAGGUGUAGCGGUGGAAUGCGCAGAUAUCUGGAGGAACACCAGUGGCGAAGGCGGCCUCCUGGACCAUUCCUGACACUCAGACGCGAAAGCUAGGGUAGCAAACGGGAUUAGAUAUCCGCGUA
rnacentral:rRNA from 1 species